rnacentral:rRNA from 1 species
GACGAACGCUGGCGGCGUGCUUAACACAUGCAAGUCGAACGGAAAGGCCCUGCUUUUGUGGGGUGCUCGAGUGGCGAACGGGUGAGUAACACGCGAGUAACCUGCCCUUGACUUUGGGGUAACUUCAGGAAACUGGGGCUAAUACCGGAUAGGAGCUCCUGCUGCAUGGUGGGGGUUGGAAAGUUUCGGCGGUUGGGGAUGGACUCGCGGCUUAUCAGCUUGUUGGUGGGGUAGUGGCUUACCAAGGCUUUGACGGGUAGCCGGCCUGAGAGGGUGACCGGCCACAUUGGGACUGAGAUACGGCCCAGACUCCUACGGGAGGCAGCAGUGGGGAAUAUUGCACAAUGGGCGGAAGCCUGAUGCAGCAACGCCGCGUGCGGGAUGACGGCCUUCGGGUUGUAAACCGCUUUCGCCUGUGACGAAGCGUGAGUGACGGUAAUGGGUAAAGAAGCACCGGCUAACUACGUG